ACUGGCGCCGUGCUCCCCGGCGGUAUCAGAGCGGUGGCUGCAUGCCUCCCAUUUUUCUCUUUUUUGAACAGCAGUGUGCUCAGUGCUUAUCCUGGGCGUGUCCCACCACUGUGUAUUAGAUGCGGUUGGCAGAUGGCUUGUCUCUUGAUUCAUGGGUCUUCAUAUUGCCAGGAGCUUCGUCUGGAGAACAGUACCCAAGGAGCCUCUGCUGCUGGACCUGAUUUAUGUGUCCAGAUCACACCCUCAAGCCUGAGCGUGAGGCUACAGCAGCUUUAUAAUCCUGUGAUGUCCUACAACCACAGACCUCCGGUUCUCUUGAUAUUCAAGACUAGACUGCUGAAACCUUCCAGCCAAGAGACACGUCCCGUAGAAUCCGGAGUCUCUCAGUAAAAUGAAGCAUCUUCUAUAGUAUGGCCAAAGACAUAUUUCCCGUCUAUGUUUCUAAUUCUUCCAAUCCCAGAAAUACGCUGGUGUCCAUCAAUUACAUUUCAUCCUUUGGAAGAUGAGCAUUGCUAGGGAUGACUGCCUCAGCGCACUGGCCUUGUUCAACAUGCAUGCGCCCCCUCGCUGUCCAAGAAGAGCCCACAACAUUGCCUCAGGCUUGUCUGGAAUUGCACAACAACCGACUGGGAAGUCUUCCUGUAGAGUGGUUUCACAAGAUCAGCAAGCCGUACCUAUGGAGAGACCCACAUGGCAAGGGAUGAAGGUUCCGGCAAACAACCAGAGAGGACCUGAGGCCUUGAGCCCAACAGUCCAGGAGGAACUAACUCUUGCCAAGAACCCAAGACAAUCUCUUCAGUGUUUGAUCACCUGAGACCUUGCUAAAAAUGCAAACUUUCAGACUCACAUCUCAGAUCUAUGAAGUCAGAUCAGCUUGCCUAGAGAAGGAAUUACACUGGCCCAGAAGCUACUCAUUCUUUAGAGAGAGAGAAAACUCCAGCAGGAGAGAGGGGUAGAGGGAAGAGAGAGAGAAUCCUAAGCAGGCUCCAUGCACAGCCCAGAGCCCAACACAAGGUUCGGUCUCACAACCCUGGGAUCAUGACCUGAGCUGAAAUCAAGAGUGGGACCCUCAACCAACUGAACCACCAGGUGCCCUGCAAACAUUUUUUUAAAAGUUAUUUUCCUAAAGGCUGCAACAAAGUGUAAGCAGGUAAGAACAUCUGUCUACUUAUUGAGACCUAGAAGUUUUACAUAGUUUCUAACUUGAUAGCUACAAAGUUAUAUUUCCUUGUUUAAAUUUGCAUAUCUACACUAGUAGGAAUUGAACAUUUCUACACAUAUUAGCCAUUUGUAGUUACUCUAUUGCAAACUAUCUUUUUCUUUGCCUAUUUAUUUCCUAGUAUACUAGUAAUUUUUCUAUGAUUUCUAUGAGUUCUCUGAACGUCAAAAGUAAUUCAUAAGUAGUACACUCAUUGAUUUUAAUCUAAAUGUUUUGCUACACAGCUGCCGGAAAACAAUAUAUCAGGCAUCACUCCUAUUUUUCCUUGUUUACUUUGUUACAUUGAGAAAAGCGAGAUUCUACUUUGUGACAUCUGAACUAUCAGAAUUGUAAAUCUGUAAGGUCCAAAGUAAUAAGUACCACUAUAAUUACAUUGUAAUUCAUCCAAAAGCCAAUGACUAUUUCUUU